rnacentral:siRNA from 1 species
CACAACUGCAAAGCACCAAUCUCA